rnacentral:rRNA from 1 species
UACGAAGGGUGCAAGCGUUACUCGGAAUUACUGGGCGUAAAGCGUGCGUAGGUGGUGAGUUAAGUCUGUCGUGAAAGCCCCGGGCUCAACCUGGGAAUGGCGAUGGAUACUGGCUCGCUAGAGUGCGGUAGAGGAGAGUGGAAUUCCCGGUGUAGCAGUGAAAUGCGUAGAGAUCGGGAGGAACAGCAGUUGCGAAGGCGGCUCUCUGGACCAGAACUGACACUGAGGCACGAAAGCGUGGGGAGCAAACAGG